rnacentral:tRNA from 1 species
GGAGGUUUGGGUGAGCGGUUUAAACCAGCAGUCUUGAAAACUGCCGAAGGGUGAUACCUUCCGUGAGUUCGAAUCUCACAGCCUCCGCCA